UACGUAGGGUGCGAGCGUUUGUCCGGAAUUAUUGGGCGUAAAGGGCUCGUAGGCGGUUUGUCACGUCGGGAGUGAAAACUCGGGGCUUAACCCCGAGCCUGCUUCCGAUACGGGCAGACUAGAGGUAUGCAGGGGAGAACGGAAUUCCUGGUGUAGCGGUGAAAUGCGCAGAUAUCAGGAGGAACACCGGUGGCGAAGGCGGGUCUCUGGGCCGAUACUGACGCUGAGGAGCGAAAGCGUGGGGGAGCGAACAGG
rnacentral:rRNA from 1 species